AAUCAUUCAGUCGAAGCAUCCCUGUCUAGAUCUGAUGCUUCGGUAACCCAGGAAACCGGACAAACCAAGAGUCGUUCAUUCGUCAGUCAGGCUCGCGGAGCCAAUCAUCGGAAAAAGUUGUUUCAGCGGAUUCUGGGGCAGACCGAUCAGGCAAGGGGUCUCCUUCGAUGAUUACUUUUGUUAAUCUGAGAACUAACCCCAUUUUAACCGCCUCAAGGCAUGCAAGGGCUUCCCCGGCGAAAGCCGAUCCCACAUUGUCGUGCACGUUUUAGACGCUAUUACCACACCCUUGCUAUUUCGAGCAACCUGCCCUGUACCUAAUCUACAUCGUUCCAUGACAAAAGCCGUAUCAAAGUUUACUUUGAUAAAAUCGGUAGGAGGAGGAUUCCAGAUGACUUUAUCACCCUGGACGACCGGAUGGCCCAAAGAGAGCAGCAAACAAUCCUUCGUUGAGUGUGCGAGCAGAUAUUAAAAACUACAGACAAAGGCAGAAGGCAUGAUCUACUGUUUCUGCUCCUCCCCCACAAAUGGUAUCCAUGCGGUAUUAAAAAUAGGGAUGGCUUCACUCGUAUCCACCCUCCAACCAGAACCAUCCUGAAGUACCUUUUUUGUUGCCUAGAUGCUUUUCCACGCAUACGAAGCAUUCACUUUAAGACAUGAAUUCAGAAAAUUAGAAUGUGGAUAAUAUUUCGCUUUCAAAACCUGCGCCAACAGAGAACUUGGAUUAGUCAUAAGACGCCACCCUUGUUUUGCAAGAAGGGCGAUAUUAAAUUUCGCAAAACUCCUAAAUUCCAUGCCACCAUUUUCUUUUAAUUCACACAUAAAACCCCAUCCACACCAAUGUAAGCCUCGUUUCCCAUGAGUCUUUUGCCACCAAAAUCAAGCCACAAUGCUCUCCAUCUCUUUACACAAGGAUUUCGGCAAAAGAAAAUAGCCCAUAGCAUAAGUAGGUAUUGCCUGCAACAUAGCUUUAAUAAACACUUCCUUGUCGCCUUGAGACAAGAAACGUGAACUCCAAUUAUCAAACUUUUGUUUCAUACAAUCUUUUAAAUACUGAAAGGAGACAUUCUUCCUUCUGCCCACUA